rnacentral:tRNA from 1 species
AGCUUUGUGGUGAAGAUGACACGUUGGAUUGCAAAUCCAGAGACGCGAGGUAACACCCGCCAAGGCUU